rnacentral:rRNA from 1 species
GAUGAACGCUGGCGGCGUGCCUAAUACAUGCAAGUCGAGCGAACAGACGAGGAGCUUGCUCCUCUGACGUUAGCGGCGGACGGGUGAGUAACACGUGGAUAACCUACCUAUAAGACUGGGAUAACUUCGGGAAACCGGAGCUAAUACCGGAUAAUAUAUUGAACCGCAUGGUUCAAUAGUGAAAGACGGUUUUGCUGUCACUUAUAGAUGGAUCCGCGCCGCAUUAGCUAGUUGGUAAGGUAACGGCGUACCAAGGCGACGAUGCGUAGCCGACCUGAGAGGAGGACCAGAGACACUGGGAGGGAGCAGCGGCCCAGACUCUUCCGGGAUGCAGGAGUGGGGAAUCUGGCGAAAUGGGGGAAAGUAUGAAGCAGCCAUGCCGCGAGAAUGAUGAAGGUCUGAGGAUGGUAAAAUGCUUGAACCGGUGAAGAUAUUGCCGGUACCCGGAGAAGAAGCCACGGCUAACUUCGUG